rnacentral:rRNA from 1 species
CCUACGGGAGGCAGCAGUAGGGAAUUUUCGACAAUGGGGGGAACCCUGAUCGGAAGCAAUGCCGCGUGAAUGAAGAAGGUCUUCGGAUUGUAAAGUUCUUUUAUUGGAGAAGAACGGUACCUAUAGGAAAUGAUAGGUAAGUGACGGUAUCCAUUGAAUAAGCCCCGGCUAACUA